rnacentral:rRNA from 1 species
GACAGAGGAUGCAAGCGUUAUCCGGAAUUACUGGGCGUAAAGCGUGCGUAGGCGGUUCGUUAAGUCUGUUGUGAAAGCCCCGGGCUCAACCUGGGAAUGGCAAUGGAUACUGGCGAGCUAGAGUGCGUCAGAGGAUGGUGGAAUUCCCGGUGUAGCGGUGAAAUGCGUAGAGAUCGGGAGGAACAUCAGUGGCGAAGGCGGCUCACUGGCUCGCAACUGACGCUCAGACACGACAGCAUGGGGAGCGAACGGG